UUUUAGGGCCUCACCCACGGCAUAUGGAGGUUCCCAGGGUAGGGGUCUAAUCAGAGCUGUUGCCACCAACCUACACCACAGCCACAGCAACGCCACAUCCGAGCCGUGUCUGCGACCUAUACCACAGCUCAUGGCAAUGAUGGAUCCUUAACCCACUGAGUGAGGCCAGGGGUUGAACCCACAACCUCAUGGUUCCUAGUCUGAUUUGUUUCCGCUGCGCCAUGAUGGGAGCUCCAUAUACUUUAAUUUUUAAAAAAGGGAAAAAUAAAACACAGAAAGAAUAACAUCAUACAUAAAUGAUACAAAUGAACUGAUUUACAAAACAGAGACUUAUAGACGUAGAAAACAAAUGAUGGUUUUACCAAAAGGGGAAGGGUGAGGACACAUUAGGCGUUGGGAUGAACAACACAGAUUACUAGACAUAAAACAGCAACCAGGACCCACUGUGUAGCUCAAGGAACUGUAUUCAGUACCUUGGAAUAACCUGUAAUGGAAAAGAAUCUGCAAGAGAAGAGCUGUCCACCUGAAACGAACACAGCGUUGUAAAUCAACUUACUUCAAUUUAAAAAAAGGCUCCCGUGGUGGCUCAGUGUGUUAAGAACCCAGCACAGUGCCCAUGAAGAUAAGGGUUUGAUCUCUGCCCUUGCUCAGUGGGUUAAGGAUCCGGAGUUGCUGCAAGCUGUGGCACGGGUCGGAGAUGUGGCUUGGAUCCGGUGUUGCUGUGGCUGGGGCAUAGGCCUUCAGUCGCAACUCUGGUUUGACCCCUAGCCUGGGAACUUCCGUAUGCCCGUGUGCCGCUGGUGCCUCGGUAAGCAAAGAAAAGAAGUGUGAAGCUCAGUGCUGCCACCUAGCAAAUGUCUAAUAAUAGCAGCUGUGCAACAGGUGGAAUGUACUUGCAGCCACAGCCUAUACCCAGCCCUGGGCUGCAGUAAUAUGAGUUAAGGCAAGUGUUCCUAAGAUUGUAUUCUUUCUUCCUCCUUGGGAAAUGAGAGAACUUUCUCCGAGGUUCCUGCCUGGUGGCUGAGGAGGUCGUGGGGGUGCUGAAGGUAGUUGGAGAAACAUCUCAGUAAUGGAGGGUGGGCGGAGCCUCGGGCCUCAUGGUGCCGCACAGCCUGGCUUUUUAGCGGCAGAGCAGAGGGUUACUCACGGCACCGCCACUGAGACCUGUGCAGCUUGGGGUUUCCUUCUGUUCUUUCAUCUCCUGCAUCAGGUCCUUCAGCAAGUUCCGCCUCUUCUUUCAAACCUCACUUUUCUUUUCUUUUUUGACACUGUUCUUGCUCUGGCCCAAGCUCUUGUCUCACGCCUGAGUUAUUGCCAAAGUCCUUUCCUACUUUGCCCCCUCAUUUCAUCUGUAAAAUAUUAAAACUACUGUAGUUGAUUUUUGUUUCAGAAACAAAGAGAGUCAAAAGUAGGAAAACAGUGAGAAGGCACAAGGAAGAAGUAAGUCUCCACCUGGCGGUGGCAGCGUCUUGAUUUCUUCCUACUUAAGCACUGAUACAGUUGCAGCUCAGAAGGAAUCGUAUGUGCGUAAUGUUUUACCCCUUUGGCUCUUUUACUCAAGACGGCGUCUAUUGCUGUGUAACAAACCACCCCCAAAGUUAGCAGCUUAGAGCAGCGGGCUCGUAUCACCUCACUUGGUCGGAGGGUCAGGGGACCGCAGGAAGUGCUUUGCCAAUGAUUCUGGCUCACGGCAUCUCAUGAGACUACGGUCAAGGUGUGGCCUGGGCCGCAGUCAUCCGAAGGCUUGGCCCGGUGGGAGGACCUGCUUGCAGGAUGACUUAUUCCCAUGGCUUUUGACCGGAGGCCUCAGGGCCUCUGCCACCUGCACUUCUUCCAACAAGGCAGCUGGCCCCCCCCCAGAGAGAGGGGUCCGGGAGAGAGGAGGGCACGGCAGGGCCGUGCUGUCUUUUUUUCCGACAGCGUUUCGAGACAUGGUUCACGUAUCUCACAGUUCACCGCAGUGGUUUUUAGUGUAUUUAUGGGGCUGCACUACCGUUAGCUCCACGUCGUCCCAGAACUUCUACUAGGCCAAAUGAAGAGUGGUGCUCCCCCCGCCCCGCCCCCGAUUGCUCUGUUUCUAUACAUCGGCCUCUGGUGGACAUGCAGUCAUAUGCUGUGUGGCCUUUGUGUUCGGGCUCGUUUCCUUAGCAUGAUGUUGUCAAGGACUGUCCGUGUUAGAACACGUCCGUGCUUUCUUUCCAUGGCUGGGUAGUAUUCUGCUAUAUGGAAAGCAUUUUGUUCAUUCAUUAGUGGGUGGACAUUUGUGUUUUCACCUUUCAGCUAACAUGAAUACUCCUGCUAGCUCAUUCGUGUGCAGGUUUUUGUGUGGACAUUUGUUUUCAUUUCUUUGGAGUAUGCAUUUAGGAGGGAAUGGCUGGGUCAUGUGAUAACUCUGUGCUUAACAUUUUGGAGAGCUGCCUGAUGUUUUUCCGAAGAAACUGCACCAUUUUGUCUUUCCAUCAGCGGGACGGGAGGGUCCAGCUUUUCCACAUCGUCACCAACACUGUGUCUUUCAGUAUAGCCAUCCUAGUGCCUGUGAGGCAGUGCCUCAUUGUGGUUUUGAUUCGUGUUUCCCUAAUGACUCAUGAUGCCAAGCAACUUUUUAAAAGGUGCUUAUUAGUCGUUUGUACGUUUGUAUGUCUUUUUUUUUUUUUGGUCCUUUUAGGGCCACACCCUUGGCAUAUGGAAGUUCCCAGGUUAGGGGUGGAAUCAGAGCUAUAGCUGCCAGCCUAUAUUGCAGGUCAUGGCAAUGCAGGAUCCUUAACCCAUUGAGCGAGGCCAUGGAUCCAACCUGCAUCCUCAUGGAUGCUAGUUACAUUCUUAACCCACUGAGCCACAAUGGGAACUCCCUGUAUGUCUUCUUUUGAGAAAUGUUUAUUCUAAUUCUUUGCUCAUUUAUGCAGUCGGGUUGUCUUUUUAUUGUUGAGUUGUAUGAGUUCUUUACAUAUAUUGGAUACAAAUUCCUAAUCAGUAUAUGAUAUGCAAAUAUUUUAUUCCAUUCUGUAUGUUUUCUUUUCACAUUCUUGAUGGUAUUGUUUGCGGCAAGAAAGUUUUGAACUUGGUUUUUUUUUUAGCUGCACCUGUGGCAUGCCAGCCUGAGCUGCUGCAGUGACAAUGCUGGAUCCUUAACCCACUGCACCACAGGAGAACUUCAAGAGUAUUUUUUUAAAUUCAGUUUUUUUUAUAGUUGAUUUACAGUGGUGUGCCAACUUCUUAUACAGUAAAGUGACCCAGUUAUAUUAUUUUUGCCCUUUCUUAUAUUAUCUUCCAUCAUGGUAUAUCCCAAGAGGUGAAAAAAUAUGGUGGUUUCUCAGAAAACUAAAUAGAGAACUACCAUAUGAUCCAGCAAUCCCACUCCUGGGCAUCUCUCCAGACAAAACUACAAUUCAAGAAGAUACCUGCACCUCUGUGUUCCUAGCAGCACUAUUCCCAACAGCCAGGGCAUGGAAGCCACCUGAAUGUCUAUCAACAGAUGAAUGGACUAAGAAGAUGCGGUGCAUAGAUACAGUGACACACCACUCAGCCGUAGCAAAGUAGAAGAUAACGCCGUUUGCAGCAACAUGAAUGCAACUAGAGAUUCUCAUAUUGAGUGACGUCAGUCAGAAAGAGAAAGGCAGAGACCCUAUGCUACCACUUAUAUGUGGAACCUACAAUAUGGCAUAAACGAGCCAUCUAUUCCGCAGAGACGGACUCACAGAUGUGGAGAACAGACUCCUUGCCAAGGGGGGGGCAGUGGGAUAGACUGGGAGUUUUGCAGUCCAUACGGUUGCAUUUAGAGUGGACACAGAGUCAGGUCGUCCUGUUCAGCACAAGGAACUCUGUCCCGGUUCAUGGGAUAGAGCCUGGCGGACGGCAAGAGAGGGGAUGUGUGUGUGUCUGACUGGGUCCCUUUGCUGUGCAGCAGACAUCGGACCAGCACUGUAACUAACUAUCCUUUCGUAAAAAAGACUUCGUCCGCGAGGGAAUUCGGAAGCAGUCAAAGCUUCUGUUAUUUCUGAAAUUUCCCUUUCCUCGGGGGCGGGGAUGGGGGGACGCUGACACCCUAUUUGAUAGGGACUUGCUGAAAUAUGAGACGCGGCGUUCCUGUCAUGGCUCAGUGGAAACGAAGCUGACUGCUGUCCAUGAGGGCGCAGGUUUGAUCCCUGGCCUUGCUCAGUGGGUUAGGGAUCCGGCGUUCCUGUGAGCUGUGGUGUAGGUCGCAGAUGCGGCUCAGAUCCCGCGUUGCUGUGGCUGUGGUGUAGGCCAGCGGCCACAGCUCCUAUUUGACCUCUAGCCUGGGAACCUCCAUAUGCUGUGAGUUCAGCACCAAAAAGACAAAAAACUAAGCAAAAAAAGAAACAUAGCCCCUUGUUAUGGAUAAAAUCAGUGAGGGCCAGCUUGUCUUUCCUUAAGCAUUUUAAUUACUCAAGGUAUUGUCUCUUUAACAAUAGGACUAUUCUUGCUAGAUUUCCAGUGAACUAUUUCUCGUGCCUCAUAAAGUACAGUUCAUUGAUAGUCUGAAAAAACUCCCGUAUCUCAGACAUGACACAUUCUCCUGAAUCCCCCAGCUUGGAAGUCUGUUGACAGCAGCAAUGGUGACAGGAGAAACAGCCUCGCCCUGUGAUUCCCAAACAGUGAUGCUAAUGCCGUCCUGUCCUCUGAAUCGUGUCUUCCUAAGUGAGCUUGGCCCUGUGUUAAUCCGACUUUUGUGCUGUCGGGACUUUCAAAAAGAAGUUUAUAAGGGUAGUUUUCAUUUUAUUGGCCGAAAGAGUGAUUGAAAAGCUGGCAGCAGGUGGCGCUGAAGGACUGAACUUGGAAAUGGCCCGUGGGGUGUCUGGCCUGUGGACUGGGCUUUGGGCCCUGCGCCCUGUGUCCCAGGCCCGUUAAAGGAAGGAAGGGCGAGCGCAGCCCUGGCGUCCGGCGAGCGCCCAGAGCCAGCGAUGCUGGCCUCGCCCUGCCUACCUGUCUCGGUCUCUUCCCUCGAGAGGCGACCCCCCGAAGGUGUGGGUAGACGAAGGCCUCAAGGGGCAAAAACACCAAAACCAACCCAGGUUUUGUGAAGGACAAUGAAAACGCACUGCUCAGAAGCGGCUUUGGAGGGCCGGCCUUGCUCUCGCCGCUGCGGACUCCUCUCCAGGAAUGUAGCCUGGUCGGGGUGGCGGCGGAAGAAAAGAGCAUCCGGAAAUUCCUUCUCGGGGACCUUGUGCAGAAGCAGCCUCCAUCGCUCCAGGCCCAAACAUGGCAGGGGGAUGGGCCCGAUUUCCCGCCAGCCUGCUCUUAUUAUCUGCCCCGUCCCCUGCUUUCUAGAAGUCUCCAAUGUGCCCAGAAAUGUUUUUCUCUAGGGCCGUUACCAGGAAAGUAAAAUUCAAAAGGGAGACUUUGGAAUUUUUUAAAUUUUUGGACCAUAUUCACAGCAUGCCGAAGUUCCCAUAUCAGGGUUUGAAUCCAAGCCGCUGUGGUGACAAUGCCAGAUCCUUAACCUGCUGAGUCACAUGGGAACUCUGAGAGGCUGUGGAUUUAAAGAGGAAAAUAAACUUCCACCGGGCCUCCAAGAGGACGGAAAGGAGACCAGCAGGAGGUGAAGUGGAAAGGUCUGCUUUGGAGCUCCCGUCGGGGCGCAGCGGUUCACGAACCCGACUAGGAACCUCGAGGUUGCGGCUUCGAUCCCUGGCCUUGCUCAGUGGGUUAAGGAUCCGGUGUUGCCGUGAGCUGGGGUGUAUGUUGUAGGCGCAGUUUGGAUCCCGAGUUGCUGUGGUUGUGGUGUAGGCCAGCGGCUACAGCUCCGAUUCGACCCCUAGCCUGGGAACCUCCAUAUGCCGCGGGUGCGGCC
rnacentral:lncRNA from 1 species